rnacentral:siRNA from 1 species
CUGCCACUGUUGAAGAUGGCC